rnacentral:rRNA from 1 species
UGGGGAACUUAGACAAUGGGCGCAAGCCUGAUCUAGCCAUGCCGCGUGAGUGAUGAAGGCCCUAGGGUCGUAAAGCUCUUUCGCCAGAGAUGAUAAUGACAGUAUCUGGUAAAGAAACCCCGGCUAACUCCGUGCCAGCAGCCGCGGUAAUA